CUGACAUUGGUUGCUGCUGCUGGGAUUUCUAGAGCUCCUCGAAACUUUCAUACAAUCUUGGGGGGGGGUCUCCCAUCCUAAGAUUAACCAACGACAACCCUGCUUAGCUUCCACCUACUUAGGUUUCCAUUUGCUUUUAUUUCAUGGCCUGUUUCAGA
rnacentral:misc_RNA from 1 species